CUUCAACAUUUUCUGCAUCCGCUUAAAAGACGACUGUCAACUAACGGUGAUAUUACUGCUGUAAUAACGUAUCUAUUCACCUUAUUUCGCGGUUUCCUCUGAGAAAUCCGCUGUGCGAGGAUCCUUUUUAUAAGGUAUUUAACUCCCGAAUAGUGUGACUGUUAUUAUUUUCCUUUGUCCAGUUCAUUUCUUUUACUUUUUACACAAAAGGCCCGAAGAGAGGGGUGAUUAUUUUCAUUGCAUCAAGACGACAGCAGGGCGAUGUCGGAAGCCCUUUUCCUCACAUUCCAGUCUCAGCUCUCCGUUGUCAUGGAGACCGUCCUCAAAUCAGCCAUGUUUGAAAUAACUAGGCUGGUGGAAGACAGCUUCCUCGAGGAAGUGGGUCAUCGUAAACAAGAGGUGGAAGCAUUGAAACGAAGGCUGCAGUUGUCUGAGAGUAAACUGAGGGAGAAGGAGAGGGAAUGGGAACGGGGGAGGAAGAUACAGUGCUCUGACUGCGGCCGAACAGGAGAUUCCAGCAGCAGAGAUGAGAGCCAGCCUGCAGAGACAGUCAGAGGAGCCAAUGCCCUUUGUUUAGGCCUAAGCCUGAGAGAUCAGUCAACCAAUCAGCCUACAUUGACAGAAGAAAUGUGGAGUACAAGACAACGCCUGGAGGCUAACAAACAAACAACAACAAAUUCGCACUUUAAAGAGAAGAACGAUGUACACAGGCAUAGUGCAAAAGAGAUCAUCACACCUAACUGCAGUGCACCAAUUCCUCAGGAUUUUCUGCAGAGGCUUCUGGGAAAUUCAGCAAUCCAGAGCGAGUCCACCAGUGUCUUCAAAGCCAAAGGGAAUGAUUUAGACCAAUCCGAAAAGGACUUUACUCUUGAUAAGGAAAUGGACUCAAACCACUCAAGAGUGAUACAUAGCCCUUCGGCUCAGGAUGCGCACGAGGAUUUGCCAUCGUCUUCACCAAACGAUAGAGUAAAAUCAGAGACAGAGCUGGAUCUUCUGUCAGUCAAGGAAGAGGAAGAGAUGGUUCCAGUGUGGGAUAGCGUCAACAGAGACGACGGUUGCCACGCAGAAAUGUCUGAUCCGAGUCAGGGAGAGCUCAGAGGAUCUUGUGAUCAGGAGGAGAUACAGGUAGAAAGCUUUCCAGGUCUAAACUCUCUCGACAUGCCAGACGCCACCUCAUAUUUCACACCUUAUUCAGUGAACACAUUGGCACAUCAAGGUAUUAGGGCACAAUAUAAUCAUUUAUGCACGACAGAGCUGAUGCUAUCUAGCGUACCAGAGAGGUCAAAUUCAUUUGUCAAACCAGAAAAUGAACAAAGUUAUCCUGGUUCAGAAAGUUCUGUCCGCUUUUCCCACAAUGACGUUUGUCCAGGUGAGAAAACGGUCAGUCACGCGCAAUACCCAAAGUGUUUCUCCCAGGACAAACAUGGGACGCCCGCACAGAUCCACGAGGGAAGACCCCACCAUUGCCUCCAAUGUGGGAAAAUGUUUGCGAGAGCAUGCGACCUCAAGGCUCAUGCGCAGAUCCACAAGGGCAAGAAACCUCUGAGCUGUUCAACGUGCGAGCAGACGUUUGCGUACAACUUCGAGCUCAAGGUUCACCAGCGAAACCACUCAGGAGAGCGACCUCACGUCUGUCCGCACUGCGGCAAGGCCUUCGCUCGGAUGAGCAACUUCAGGCAGCAUCAGAACAUCCACACGCGGGAGAAACUCUUCAGCUGCACUCAAUGCGGGAUGCGAUUCAAUCGAGCCACCAACCUGCGAGUUCACAUCAGACGACACAGCCACGCUGGGAAGUCUUGCAAUUGCCCUUAUUGUGGAAAGAGCUAUCUGAAUCCCAGGCAAAUGAAGACUCAUUUAUUGAAAGCCCAUGGGAGAGGAGGGAAAUAAUAAUGUAUUUAAUUUCCACUUGUUUUUUGAUCAAAUCGUGUUUAUAUACUAUAAAUGGUCCCGUCAUUGCCACCUUAAAGACAACUGAACAGGAGCUGGACAAAUUGUUAUGCAUGGAAUCAUUUUAACAAGGAAACUUAGGUUUCCCUUAUCUAAUAAUACAUGCAUAUUGAAAUUGAAAUGACAGAUUUACUCCCAAAGGAAUUGUGCUGUUGUGCGAGUAAUGUGUAAUAGUUGGUAUAGAAUAUGUAUUUGAUGUUUUUAUGUAUUCCCUCCAACAACAGUAAAGAUGCAGUAUGAUGCAGCAUAUCCUCUCUCCUGAGAAUGUUUGUGGGUUUUUUUAAUUCACUAAAAAGAGACCCCGGCCUUCACUUAAAUGAUGUUAUGUCCCUGUCGUUUCAACUUUCAUGGCAUUUUGUUGGAAAAAGUAAAUGAACCAUCAGAUGUAGCGACUGGUAACACAUCUAUCUCACCUCAACAAGUCAGUCAGUCCAAAAAUGCUCCAUUUCCUUUACUUUAUUCGUCUAUUCAGACUUCAAGUCUUCUUUACGGUGUUUUCUAUUUUGUAUUUAUUUGCUGUGGAUUUGAUGAACACUGAUGUUGGACAAUGCAAGACUUCCUCCUCCUUAGCCAUUUCCACAAGAGUUCUGUGAUCUCCUGCAGCAUUGUGUCUUGAUGCCUGCCUCUCCUGGAGUGAUUGUAAUCGGACAACCUUUAACCCCUACACACAGAUUGGCCGAAGGUUUGCAGAACACCCUUCCACAGAACAAGGAAAUUCACUUCCCGUGAACAGGCAAAGGACAUUCAGCCUUGUGGCCAGGGAGAUCCUGACUCAGUUUCAGGUGUGGCAGAAGGCUUGCUAUAGCAGGAACAUAGAUUGGGGCCCGAUUACCGCGAAGAUCAUAUCUGCACUGCCACAGUUGUAUGGGCGGGAGGCAGAGGUGAUUGUCAGAUGUACUAAGAUGCUACACAACCGCAGGGAUUACCUUCGAAGGAGGGCAAAGGUUAGACAGAGUUCAUAGGUUUAAAGAUUUAAUCUCAUUAUUUCAAAACCUUAUUGCGUUGUUUGAUGAUAAAUCAUACAUAUUAUGUCAUAAUGUAUAUGGCACAUAAUUGUGUGAAUGAAGGCAAUUUUCCAUAGGGCUUGACAAUUUGAUCUGCUGUAUGAUAAACAAAUAACAUAUUGCUUAUCAUGGAUGAAAGCAAAUUAUUUUAACAGUUUUCGACUAAAAAAAAUAACAAAAGAAAAAAAUAUUCUACAGUACAAUAAAUAAAAAAACCUUUUAAAUUUUACAUGAUAUGUUUAACAUAAAACAUUGCAUAGGUGUUCUGAAAAUCCACUAGCACAGAAUGAUCUACCCAGACAAUAUUUUAAGUUGUAUUCUUGUUUAUACAUCAUAACAGCUUUAGUUAAUCCAAAAAAAUAUAUAUACAAUUUUAAAGCAUAAAAAUAUUUGUAGAUAUUUAGGAAACAUGCUAAGUUAAC